AUGUCGGCGGAGGCUGUUGGCAUUUAUUUUCCUCACGGAUAGGCCAAUGAUAUCGAGAGAAUUACCCGAGGCAAACAGGUGGCAAAUUUGGUUUCUCUCGGAUGCGUUAGGGAAAAGGGAAAGGUAAGAAAGAAAAUCCAAACUGGCCGACCGUUGCUAGCCCCUCCCCUUAAAUUGUCAGCAGUUUGAACGGAGGUUAGGGUUGAUAAGUUCAUUUAGUUCUGGUGCUUCCCUUCGAUUGUUUGUUCACUUUCUGAGUUAAUUUCACAUUCCAUGUGAUGCAGUUUCAUUAGUUCUACGCCGUUGAAAGUGAUCAUCAUUCAAGCAAAGAGUCAGAAUUCCAAGGCAGUUCCGGUGGCUUAAAAUGUUCAACUGGAAGCGAACUUGUCUCGCCCGGAGUCAUUGGAACUCAAAAAUAUAAUAAAUCCAGGAGGACUGCUAAUGCGAUUCGACUGCAUGAUGAAUCACAGCAGCAAGAUGUGCGUCUAAAUUCCCCUGCAAAACGUGCGACUAGCCAUAUCCUUUUUGGAACAAGUUCGAUCCUGAACUUGCUCUGUGUCUUUCUCGACGAACUGCAUAUAGAACUUUGUUUUCCUACUUCAACAUCUUUUGGAAGUUUAGUGAUAAACAGCCUUCACCAAAGUCUGGUGCUCGUUGAAAGACUGGCAGACACGCUUGGGAUGACGACUUUUGCGAUAAUCAUCGAAGAUGUUCUGGAAAGAGACUCGUGAAAGACUUUCGGAGAUGUGGAAAGAUUAAGCUGAAGAAAAACUGGCGACAAGUUUGGUGGAGCUUUCAACGAGAUUUGCUCAAUCCAGAGAAAUAUUCGUGAAUAUUUUGACCAACCAACUCCAUGAUAAAUAGCUUUAGACCGGGAUUGCACAACCAACGUUCAUCGAUUCUUCUUCUAAUUAAAAUGGUAACACGAAAAUUAAACACUAAUGUUUACUUAAUCUUCCUUUUUUCAUUUUAAUUUGUUCCGCAUAUUGUUUCCAUCGUUUUUUAAUUCGCAAAUAUUACGAAAUUCGUUAUUUAGCAGUUGACGACAAUUGGGUUUCAUUUGGCGUUCGAAAUACUUUACGCCUGCUAUUAUCUAAAUCACGGGAAAGGGAAUUUUAAGAAAGAAAUACAAAUAUGAGUUAAUUCAAAUAAAGCUAGUCAAUUUAGAAGUCUGAGGAAGUGGGUAAAACGUAAUUGUAUUCUUUGUUGGUUUUUUGCUUAAUUCUAUUUAGAGAAAUUUUCUUCGUUAUUAGUGGCAGAUCGAUUGGACUGGAUUGCUCAGCUAGAAUCAUCUUUGGCUGAUUAAAUUCAUGGUUUGAGCCACUAAAUAGGAGAGCUCCCAUCCCAUGGGAUUCUCUAUUGUGAUGCUAUCCAGUCACGUUUUAACCUUCGCAUUAGGGCCAGUGGCGUUAUUCAACGAUGAUAUGCCCACUUCGGUUCCCUGAUGACAACCGCCUUCGCAGUUGCAGACCAAGAUGUUGCAUCAUCCAACACCGCAGUAAGAAAUUCCCGUUUCUUUCCAGGAAGAGGCUUUGGUGAUGGAAACAGGGGUGAUUUCACCCGAUGGAUGAACGGAUAGAUAUCAAAUGGAAUAGGAAAUCUUGAUAAAAAGAUGCACUGAAAGAACUUUGUUAAAUCACUCGUAAAAUCGCUCUUGUAAUCGUUCGGUAAAUCACAGAUAUAUCUGGAUAAUACUUACUAGAACAACAAGUGAUUACGAAAUGAUGUCAUUUUAGCGCUUCGGACCAAAAUGAGCGUGGUUGAUGAUGGCGUGGCGACAACAACAAAACAGAUCGUUCCAAAUUAGAAAGUAGUCUACCUCUCUACCAUGAAAGAGUUGAAAACCAAUAAAUUUGGCAUCGCUGUUGGUGUGUCUUACAUUUACGGAUAGAAGAAAACAAGGUCAUUCAACGUGGUGAUCUCGACUUGCUGCGUUUUCAUGGUCGUGACGAUUCUUUGUGCUGGCGUUUUCUUUUCAUUGUGACAGUCAUGUGUCUUAUCAGUUGCUGCAUUAAUUGUGAAAAAAAAAUGUGUGAAUUACGUCGUCGAUGGAUUGGUGCUGAACAGUCUGUGGACGAGCCUAAUGCUCCUUCACCUAGUGCACCAUGUUCGUUUUUAUUAACAAGUGAAAAAAGUAAACGAAAUGACAAAACUAUCAGCUGAUUGCCAUUCCGUGGUAUUGAUGUGUGCUGUGUUUAAAUAAAAGAAAUUCUCUAUUCCACUUCCAGGAUGCGUGUCAGUAAUGCCGGCUCAUUGUGUUUCAUUACAUCAAUAAAUUCCCGAUAGAUGACGCUGAAGAAGUUGAUUGACAAGUCAUUAAUUAUUUUUUACUUUAGUUUCUCAAUUGUUUUCGGCUGAAAUAUGAUUGUGUCAAUGUGAUAUUGUGUUUCGAACAAAUGUUGUGAAUUGCUCUAAAUAUUGUUGUUAUCGCCAUUAGCUGUUACAACAAAAUAUAUUUGAUCAUCUUACUUGAAAUAA
rnacentral:lncRNA from 1 species